GUUAACCCGUCUAGCUAUACUUAACUUAAUCUCUUACUUAUAAAUGUUAACCCGUCUUGCUAUACUUAACCUAUUUUAUUUUAUUUCUUAAAGUUAACCCGGACGCAAAAUUUUGCCCUAGAAUUAACCUAACUUCUUUGCUUAAUUUUACUGUAUUAACCCUAUUUAAUUUAAUCAAAAUGUUAACGUUAAUUGUUAGGGAAAUCAAAAUAAACAAAUCGCUUCUAAUUUUUCUCCUUAAUUUUACUAAACAAAUUAUAUUAACCCUAGAUUUAAUUUAUGCAAAAUGUCAUAUCUUAUUUAUAAACGUUAACCCGUGACGUAAUAUUAACCCUAGAUUUAACCUAAUUUUUUCGUGUGACUUUACUAUUUUAACCCUAGAUUUAAUUUAUGCAAAAUGUCAUCUCUUAUUUCUAAAUGUUAACCCGUGAUGCAAUAUUAACGCUAGAUUUAACCUAUUUUUUCGUGUGACUUUACUAUAUUAACCCUAGAUUUAAUUUAUGCAAAAUGUCAUCUCUAAUUUUAACCUAAUUUUUCCCUCCACACCUUUGCAUUUAAUGUUUAUCUAAAGCAAAAUAAAAAUAUGUUCCCAAUUAUAUGCUGUUUUUUUGGAAAUGAAUCCGUUAACCCGUCUAGCUAUACUUAAUUUAAUCUCUUACUUAUAAAUGUUAACCUGUCUUGCUAUACUUAACCUAUUUUAUUUUAUUUCUUAAAGUUAUACCGGACGCAAAAUUUUGCCCUAGAAUUAACCUAACUUCUUUGCUUAAUUUUACUGUAUUAACCCUAUUUAAUUAACCAUGUUUAAUUUGAUCAAAAUGUUA
rnacentral:lncRNA from 1 species